AGGAGACCCUGACCCCUGAAGGGCUGUAAGGACACAGGGUGCGCACAGCAAGAACAAGGAUCACAGGGGACUCCCUGCAUGUCUACCCUGCCUCCAGUCAAUAAACGGGAUGGAGUGCCGACACCGGAGUCAGCACAGGAGGACAGAUGGACACCCUGUAAUGGAUGUCUAUGGGACAUUUCCUCAUGUUGCAGAGACGUAUGGAUGGUUGUGUGAGCGAUUGCUGAGUGGCUGGAGCUUGGGCACAAAGCCACCCACGGGGAAGGCAGAGCCCCCAGGCUGAGGGCAGCAACAGGGCAUCCCAAGUUGUUCUGCUAUAUCUCCACACUGAGAGCCAUUUCCCUGAUACAUCAACGUUUCUGCAGCCAAGUGCACGUUGUGAGGCUCGUCUUGCUGGCCUCCUAAUGGCCCCAUCAGUGUGGCCUGAAGAGAGAAGGGCUUACUCACACUGGACAGAUUCCUGCCUUCAUUCCUGUCCAGCUGCUGUGCAUGCUGCCCUUCCGUAUGUAACCAAGUACCUCAGCCGGGAUGGACCCACGGACAGCAGCUUAUCAUCUCCCAGUUUGGGAGGCUGGGCAAAGCCAAGGUGAGGGCACCAAUAGGCUGUUUGCUGGCAGUCUGUGGGAUUCCAUGGCCUUUAAGAGCUGCUGGAUAAUCUCUGUCUUCAUCUUUAUUUUUUGAGAUUCUUGUGUAGUCCAGACUGGCCUUGAACUCUUUAUCUAGUCAGUGAAAUAUUUAUUUAAUUAUCAAACAUAAUUACAGUUGGGUGAUAUAACAGGGCUUUGUGAUAUCUGUGAAGAGGAAAACUGGGAGCAUCUGCCUUUAUAAAUAUUAAAAUUUAAGACAGAAUGAUUGUUUGUCAGAUACACAUAUGACCAAAUGGUCCCCUGGAAUUUAGGAAUGGACACAAUAUGUUUGUUUGUUUGUUUGUUUGUAGUUUUUGGGUCAAAGACUUAUUCUCAAGCUUCAGACAUUGAACUUGUAAUUUUCUGCCUCAGUCUCCAUAGAACUGGGGCUCCAGGCCUGUUAGAAAUAUUCUUUUCAGCUUAUUGGGAAAGUUACAAUUCAUUUAGAAAAUGGUUGAUGCAAAAAUAGGGCAAACCUAAAAGUCAAGUAAACGCUCAUGUAAUAUAUUCGACUGAAACCUUAUGAAAAAUUUGUAUGAUUUUGAAAUAGAGGGGAUU
rnacentral:lncRNA from 1 species